UUUCAAUGGACCCUUGCUGUUUUCUGUUGCAAUAAAAAGCCUAGGCUAUGACAACAGCUUCAACAGGUUUGGCUAGCUGUAUGCAAAAUAAGUCAUGCCUUUUUCCCCUGUUUGCUAUUUCCCAGUCCUCUAACUGAAGUGUUGUAGGCAACAACACAGAAGGUAAAAGAAACAAUGUGGUUUAAGUCAAGGUGAAAAUAGAUAUGAAAAAUAGAUAAGUAAUAUAGUUUCUUUUCUUCACUUUAUGUGUGAUAACUUGAGAAAUAUGUUGUCAAUACUAUUAAAAUAAGAAAAAAACGUAAUGGUACUUAGGAGAUUACAGUUUUUGCAUAAAUACUAUAUUGGGCUUUAUUAAAGUUUAUGAAAAUAGAAUGCAUGUAUAUGCAUUUUAUAUUUAUGCACAUAAAUGGAACAUUUUAAAAUCUUUGAACAGAUAUUGAAGUAUUUUCUAUCCUGUGGCGCCAUCGUGUGGACAACAUUAGCAUUGUGGCCUUCAUUUCUGAACAACAUCAUUACGAAAGGGGCCAAUAUUUUAUGAAUGAUUACAAAUAUUUAAUGAUUAGUUCACUGAUAAUAUACCCACAUUAAAAUCGAAUUUACUGAUACUGUAUCUUAUUUCAUGCUUUAAGAGUUUAUUUUUCAACUU
ensembl:lncRNA